UACGAAGGGGGCUAGCGUUGUUCGGAAUUACUGGGCGUAAAGCGCGCGUAGGCGGUGAUCUUUGUCAGAGGUGAAAGCCCGGGGCUCAACUCCGGAAUUGCCCUUGAAACGGGAUCGCUAGAGACCGAGAGAGGAUGGCGGAAUUCCUAGUGUAGAGGUGAAAUUCGUAGAUAUUAGGAAGAACACCGGUGGCGAAGGCGGCCAUCUGGCUCGGUACUGACGCUCAAGUGCGAAAGCGUGGGGAGCAAACAGG
rnacentral:rRNA from 1 species